rnacentral:rRNA from 1 species
CCUACGGGAGGCAGCAGUGAGGAAUAUUGGUCAAUGGGCGCUAGCCUGAACCAGCCAAGUAGCGUGAAGGAUGACUGCCCUAUGGGUUGUAAACUUCUUUUAUAUGGGAAUAAAGUGCAGUAUGUAUACUGCUUUGCAUGUACCUUAUGAAUAAGGAUCGGCUAACUCCGUGCCAGCAGCCGCGGUAAUACGGAGGAUCCGAGCGUUAUCCGGAUUUAUUGGGUGUAAAGGGAGCGUAGGCGGGUUGUUAAGUCAGUUGUGAAAGUUUGCGGCUCAACCGGAAAAUUGCAGUUGAUACUGGCAGCCUUGAGUACAGUAGAGGGAGGUGGAAUUCGUGGUGUAGCGGUGAAAUGCGUAGAUAUCACGAAGAAAUCCGAUGGCGAAGGCAGCCCGCUGGACUGUAACUGACGCUGAGGUGCGAAAGUGUGGGUAUCAAACAGGAUUAGAUACCCCGGUAGUC